GUGACCUCUGUCCACACCACUUUGCAUAGACAUGUUGUCUUUUAACCAAGAACAUGUCUGUUAUGGAAGGAAGAAGAACCCUGAAUAAAUUCAGCUGCCUUCAGAAAGUGAGGCUCGACUCCUUGAACAGCACUCUUCAGUUGGACUUAACAUUCUAUAAAUCCAUGGAUCCUGACAGCACUACAGAUAAGGAAAUCAUAAUGUUUUUCAGCUUGUGUUAAUGCUAAAGUGUAGCUAUGACAGUAAGGUUUAAAAACAUCUUGGCUUACAAAUAAAGCAGUUGAAUUGUUUCUAA